GUAUCUCAUACAAAGGGCCUCUUAUGCACAUCACGCUGUGCUGGAAUUUUCUUUACACAUUUGUCUCCUGUUUUUCUUUCAUGGAUUCACAGCCCUUGGAGCACAUCCGUUCUCAAUACAGUUGGCUAAAUUCUGGGAUUGUAAUCCUUUACCAAAGAUUUUUUGACAAGUGUUCUUGAUGAAGAUGGGUGAUUUAUAAACUUUUACAACUAGGGGAAAUCCCCUGCUGACCUUAAGGUUGGAAAGCACAUAGUCAACAAAAAGGCCAAAGGGGCUCUUGGCCAAGGUGGCCCUUUGCUCCACUUCUGACCUCAUCAGGAGUCAGAGCUCUGACCUCUUCGAGUGCGGUUUGUUAAACCAGCAGAGACCUUUGGACAAAGUGAAGGCAGAUGGAAUUACCUGCUCACCCUGCAAGAUGGAGGCUGGCUUUCCCAUUUUAGAGAUGUGAAGACCCAAAGCUCCAGAGGAUGGGCCCAGCAGAGGCUGGGAGGCACCGAAGCCACAACAUCUGUAUCUUCUGCUUUCUAGACAAGGACUCCAAGGCCCAGGGCCACUAGGGUGGACAAGGUGCAUCCAGGUAGCAGCGGAGAACCCACGAGAGGCUCAACUAGCAUCAUUGAUGGGAGUCCGGGAGCCACCGAGCAGUCUCUCGUGCUCACCCUCUUCUGCCGGGGGCCGGCCCCUGGCCAGGCGGGUGAGCAGUGGGCGGUGCAGCCCAUUGUAGAGGGCGGUGCCUGUCAGCAGGAUGAGGAAGCCCAGGAUCUGCAGAGGGUGGAAGGCCUCCCAGCCCAGCGCCAGGCUCAGCGCCCAAAUGACAAUGGUACGCAGGCUGUCCAGCACCAUGCGGGUCGUGGCGCUCAGUUCCUUGGUGACGCUGAUGCCCGCGAAGUUGAAGAAGGCGAUGCUGCUGAUGUUGCCCAGCAGCGCCAGGGCGAUGAGCGGUUGUCGGCCCACCUGGCAGAAGGCGUCCAGCGCGUCCUCCAGCGUCCCUCGGGGGCUUCCACUGAAGGAGCCGGCAGGGAUAUAGUACAUGGGCACCAGCAGCAGGGAGAGGAUCACGAAGCCAAAGAGGCCUGUGGGAGUGGAAGAAGCAUGCUGCACCUUCUGUUCGGCCCCCAAGCCCCCACCCCCCCACCGGCAGCUCAGCCUGCCCAGCAGGGGCUCCACUGAUCUCCCUCCCAGCCAGCGCCCCCGUCCUGGGGCACCUCACGCCAGCUCCUCCCUGUUGGGCCCUGGAGCUACCUGUUCAUCUGGAACUCACCGUGGCCUACUGAGGGGGCUCCAGCUGCCCUGCUCCACUAUAAUCAUAUUUUAUAAUCGGAGCAAGGAUAAAAACUACAUUUUAUAUAAUGACCUGUAUAUGUAUGCACAGGCACAUACACACAUGCACACUUUCACAAUACAGUGGCUAUCUUUACAAUGUUCUCUGGCACUUUUAAAUUCCAUUGUAUUCAUUUACAAAAGAAUGGCAGCUGUGAUGGCGACGCUGCUCUCACAAGCGUGGAGAAACAUGGUUUUCUAAUCCAGGGUCGCUGGUCUGUGACCAGGAGUGGACUAGAAUGUAAAUCAAUGCACUGCUUCAUUAAGAAAGUCUUGCUAGGGAAAAAAAGAGUGGAUGCAAACAAUGUGCUUGAUGACAUAGUGGAUCGAGAUGAUUAACGCUGUGCCAGAAGCCCGUGGCGCGCACACGGCUCCCUGAUUGAUCCACAGGCCAUGCUUGGCUAGUGCUGCUCUAAUCUGCCUGCUGGUUUCAUAUUUUUAAAUGGGUAGUUAAAGGUUUGGUAGUUACCUUAAAGGCUUGGGUAGUUACCUUCCUGCUCACAAACUUGUGGUGGUUCCUCCCUGUCUGUCAUUGACAAUCUAAAUCCGUUUGACAUUCAAGGUUCUCCAUAAGACCCUGACCUAUUCAAUUCCUGAUCAUUGUCCCAACGUCAAAUCUGUAAGUCACCCAACUACUCCUUACUGGUUUCGAUACUCAUGGCCAGCUCCCCACAUCCG